UUGUUGAUUGUACUAUAUUUUGAAAAAUGGGAGAAGUUUUAAGAAAAAACGCUUGAUUUUCCAUAAUCAGUUUGUAAAACAAUUUAUCUUUUAUUCCAAAUUGACAUUCGUAUUAUUUGAUUGUUGAGACAAAAAAGAAUUUAAAUUCAAAAGUUGCCACUGAUCUUGUGAAUGCAGCGACACUAGGGCGUAAAUCCUUACUUUAAAACUGGAUUUUUAUUCCCACAUAUGAAAAAUCGAGUGACAAUAUAUUUUCGUCGCGUUCUGUCAAGAUUAUUGAUUCAUAAACGGACACUCCUAAUUGGGAAUAUCACUGCGACGCAUGUAUAAUUAAUCAGGACUACACCCACUUCUAUUCUAUGGCGGAACACGACAAACAUUACAGAUACAUGUGUAAUACAUGCACAUAUAAUCGCUUCGGCCCGAUUGACUCACUUUGUAAUGCUCUUGACUGUGACAGCGGUUUCAGAAUGAACUUCAAGGUGUACACACGCAUACAAGUAUGGAAAUGAGAGGACAUUAACUUACGUGUGUAUAUAAUCUCGGGUUUUUGCGGCUCCUUUCUUCUUCGCGCCGGCGAUAGCUUAUCAUUCUCGGCAUGCCACUUCUUCAAGCAUUGGGGCUCGUGAAUGGCAAUACUCGAGGAACCGAAAUCUCGGCCGCAGAUAUAACAUAAACUCACCGGAUACAUCGUAUAUUUUGGUGGAAUUUCCUGUCCAUUAUCGUCCGAUUGCCUGGGGGCUUGAUUUUCCUGCUGUCUUGAAUCAUUCUGCGCUUGCCAUCGCCUAUUGCAUUGAGGUUCGUGAAUCU